GGGGAAUUUUCCGCAAUGGGCGAAAGCCUGACGGAGCAAUACCGCGUGAGGGAUGAAGGCCUAUGGGUUGUAAACCUCUUUUUUCAGGGAGGAAUCAAUGACGUGUACUUGAAGAAUAAGCAUCGGCUAACUCCGUGCCAGCAGCCGCGGUAAGACGGAGGAUGCAAGUGUUAUCCGGAAUCACUGGGCGUAAAGCGUCUGUAGGUGGUCAAAUAAGUCAACUGUUAAAUCUUGAGGCUCAACCUCAAAAUCGCAGUCGAAACUAUUAGACCAGAGUAUAGUAGGGGUAAAGGGAAUUUCCAGUGGAGCGGUGAAAUGCGUAGAUAUUGGAAGGAACACCGAUGGCGAAGGCACUUUACUGGGCUAUUACUAACACUCAGAGACGAAAGCUAGGGUAGCAAAUGGGAUUAGAUACCCCAGUAGUC
rnacentral:rRNA from 1 species